rnacentral:tRNA from 1 species
UAUAUUUUAGUGUAUGAAGCACAAAAGUUUUUGAUACUUUUAGAAUUAGUUUAACUCUAUUAAAUAUAA